rnacentral:rRNA from 1 species
AAAUUGAAGAGUUUGAUCAUGGCUCAGAUUGAACGCUGGCGGCAGGCCUAACACAUGCAAGUCGAACGGUAACAGGAAGAAGCUUGCUUCUUUGCUGACGAGUGGCGGACGGGUGAGUAAUGUCUGGGAAACUGCCUGAUGGAGGGGGAUAACUACUGGAAACGGUAGCUAAUACCGCAUAACGUCGCAAGACCAAAGAGGGGGACCUUCGGGCCUCUUGCCAUCGGAUGUGCCCAGAUGGGAUUAGCUUGUUGGUGGGGUAACGGCUCACCAAGGCGACGAUCCCUAGCUGGUCUGAGAGGAUGACCAGCCACACUGGAACUGAGACACGGUCCAGACUCCUACGGGAGGCAGCAGUGGGGAAUAUUGCACAAUGGGCGCAAGCCUGAUGCAGCCAUGCCGCGUGUAUGAAGAAGGCCUUCGGGUUGUAAAGUACUUUCAGCGGGGAGGAAGGGAGUAAAGUUAAUACCUUUGCUCAUUGACGUUACCCGCAGAAGAAGCACCGGCUAACUCCGUGCCAGCAGCCGCGGUAAUACGGAGGGUGCAAGCGUUAAUCGGAAUUACUGGGCGUAAAGCGCACGCAGGCGGUUUGUUAAGUCAGAUGUGAAAUCCCCGGGCUCAACCUGGGAACUGCAUCUGAUACUGGCAAGCUUGAGUCUCGUAGAGGGGGGUAGAAUUCCAGGUGUAGCGGUGAAAUGCGUAGAGAUCUGGAGGAAUACCGGUGGCGAAGGCGGCCCCCUGGACGAAGACUGACGCUCAGGUGCGAAAGCGUGGGGAGCAAACAGGAUUAGAUACCCUGGUAGUCCACGCCGUAAACGAUGUCGACUUGGAGGUUGUGCCCUUGAGGCGUGGCUUCCGGAGCUAACGCGUUAAGUCGACCGCCUGGGGAGUACGGCCGCAAGGUUAAAACUCAAAUGAAUUGACGGGGGCCCGCACAAGCGGUGGAGCAUGUGGUUUAAUUCGAUGCAACGCGAAGAACCUUACCUGGUCUUGACAUCCACGGAACUCCAGAGAUGAGAAUGUGCCUUCGGGAACCGUGAGACAGGUGCUGCAUGGCUGUCGUCAGCUCGUGUUGUGAAAUGUUGGGUUAAGUCCCGCAACGAGCGCAACCCUUAUCCUUUGUUGCCAGCGGUCCGGCCGGGAACUCAAAGGAGACUGCCAGUGAUAAACUGGAGGAAGGUGGGGAUGACGUCAAGUCAUCAUGGCCCUUACGACCAGGGCUACACACGUGCUACAAUGGCGCAUACAAAGAGAAGCGACCUCGCGAGAGCAAGCGGACCUCAUAAAGUGCGUCGUAGUCCGGAUUGGAGUCUGCAACUCGACUCCAUGAAGUCGGAAUCGCUAGUAAUCGUGGAUCAGAAUGCCACGGUGAAUACGUUCCCGGGCCUUGUACACACCGCCCGUCACACCAUGGGAGUGGGUUGCAAAAGAAGUAGGUAGCUUAACCUUCGGGAGGGCGCUUACCACUUUGUGAUUCAUGACUGGGGUGAAGUCGUAACAAGGUAACCGUAGGGGAACCUGCGGUUGGAUCACCUCCUUACCUUAAAGAAGC